rnacentral:rRNA from 1 species
CCUACGGGGGGCAGCAGUGAGGAAUAUUGGUCAAUGGACGAGAGUCUGAACCAGCCAAGUAGCGUGAAGGAUGACUGCCCUAUGGGUUGUAAACUUCUUUUAUAUGGGAAUAAAAUGUUCCACGUGUGGGAUUUUGUAUGUACCAUAUGAAUAAGGAUCGGCUAACUCCGUGCCAGCAGCCGCGGUAAUACGGAGGAUCCGAGCGUUAUCCGGAUUUAUUGGGUUUAAAGGGAGCGUAGGUGGGUUGUUAAGUCAGUUGUGAAAGUUUGCGGCUCAACCGGAAAAUUGCAGUUGAAACUGGCAGUCUUGAGUACAGUAGAGGUGGGCGGAAUUCGUGGUGUAGCGGUGAAAUGCUUAGAUAUCACGAAGAACUCCGAUUGCGAAGGCAGUUCACUGGACUGCAACUGACACUGAGGCUCGAAAGUGUGGGUAUCAAACAGGAUUAGAUACCCUUGUAGUC